GAUGAACGCUGGCGGCGUGCUUAACACAUGCAAGUCGAACGGGAAUUAUUUUAUUGAAACUUCGGUCGAUUUAAUUUAAUUCUAGUGGCGGACGGGUGAGUAACGCGUGGGUAACCUGCCUUAUACAGGGGGAUAACAGUCAGAAAUGGCUGCUAAUACCGCAUAAGCGCACAGAGCUGCAUGGCUCAGUGUGAAAAACUCCGGUGGUAUAAGAUGGACCCGCGUUGGAUUAGCUGGUUGGUGGGGUAACGGCCCACCUAGGCGACGAUCCAUAGCCGGCCUGAGAGGGUGAACGGCCACAUUGGGACUGAGACACGGCCCAGACUCCUACGGGAGGCAGCAGUGGGGAAUAUUGCACAAUGGGGGAAACCCUGAUGCAGCGACGCCGCGUGAAGGAAGAAGUAUCUCGGUAUGUAAACUUCUAUCAGCAGGGAAGAUAGUGACGGUACCUGACUAAGAAGCCCCGGCUAACUACGUG
rnacentral:rRNA from 1 species